rnacentral:lncRNA from 1 species
GUUUUGAUGAAUGACAAACUAUGCGCAAAUUGACAUAUGACGAGGUCCAAGCACAAGCGCAAAAUUGAUAUACAACGAGAUCCAAGCACAAGCGCAAAAUUGAUAUACAACGAGAUUAAGCACAAGACAAAGAUCGAGAUUAAGUUUUAUAUGAGUCGGUAUUUAAUUGUGAUCUUGAUCCGACAACUUAUACUCAAGACUUGGCUUCUCUCGUAAAAAUAUUUUUAACAAAUCAUGCAUAUAUAAUUUAGAGCAAAAUGAUUUUAAAUAAUGCAUAUUUACUUUAGUCAAAAUGAUUUUUAAACAUGCCUCUAAAAUCUGGACUA